GACGAACCGUGCAACGUUGUUCGGAAUCACUGGGCUUAAAGGGCGCGUAGGCGGGCAAGCAAGUCGAAGGUGAAAUCCCACGGCUCAACCGUGGAAGUGCCCCCGAUACUGCGUUGUCUUGAGGGAGAUAGGGCGUGCGGAACUUCCGGUGGAGCGGUGAAAUGCGUAGAUAUCGGAAGGAACACCGGUGGCGAAAGGCGGCGACGCUGGACUCU
rnacentral:rRNA from 1 species